UACGUAGGUGGCAAGCGUUGUCCGGAAUUACUGGGCGUAAAGGGCUCGUAGGCGGCCAACUAAGUCGGAUGUGAAAUCCCCAGGCUUAACCUGGGAACUGCAUCCGAUACUGGAUGGCUUGAAUCCGGGAGAGGGAUGCAGAAUUCCAGGUGUAGCGGUGAAAUGCGUAGAUAUCUGGAGGAAUACCGGUGGCGAAGGCGGGUCUCUGGGCUGUAACUGACGCUGAGGAGCGAAAGCGUGGGUAGCGAACAGG
rnacentral:rRNA from 1 species